rnacentral:rRNA from 1 species
CAGGAUCCCACAAAACAGUUUAUACUUGUUUUUACAAUAUGGCAUGUGCUCUGGCAAAAUAGAUCCCGUAAAAAAAAUUCAUGUCAGACGUGGAGCCCAUUGACUACAAAACAGGAUCUCUAAGAAAUAGCACAAGACACCCUGAAACGAAAUCUAGAUUACGAUUGGGUCCAGGCCGCUCCAAUGCAACGACACAUCUGUAUGAGCCCCGACUGCCUCGAGCUUCGCUUCAGUCGCCUUGAGCUCUUGUACGAGCUUCGCUUCGGCCAUCUCGAGUGUACAAGUUCCGCGCCGCACCGGCCGCCUCGAGCUCCAGCUAGUCGGGGUCGAGAUGCCCCGCAGGCCGCCAGGAGCUCCUAUACGAGCUCCACUUCCCACUGCGAUAGGCUGGCAGUGUUGAUGCGGCUGCGCCCUCGCCCUACCGCUUCUCUUUCAUUCGACCGGAAUCGAGCUCGGGAGGCGGCGCCGCCGGUGACGUCGAACUGCGACGAGAGCUGUUGGGGCUAAAAUUUCUCUCCCACCAAGUCAUCGGAGGGAUAGAGAAAAAGAGGAAGGAAACCUGGAAGCGAAAAGAUUGGAAUCAAUCGAUCGAUCACACGCGUCGCGUCUGCCGGCUCCUACGUCCAACACGUGUCCCAUGAGAAACAAACUGAGCAACGCACUGGCUUUAUCCUUAUCUACUCGAUGCAUCUCGUCCACUCGUUACUUUUCACCGCCCAGGUCGCCGGUUCGUUUCUUCCUCCAUCUUUCUAGCAUCUGCUAACUUGUAGCAACCCUCCAGGAUUUCCACGAGCCGCCACUGCCACAAGUGUCGCUCCAAGUAAGCAAUCCAUGCGCAAUGCUUAGAGGUUGGACCGCCGAGCUGCUGCGAGCCGACCGCCGAUGUCCCUCGAUGCUGCAACGGGCUGUCAGGUGCGUGUGCAGGUGCUCGACAGCGGCGUGGCCGUUGAGGCAUUCGCCGACGCCCAGUUCUACAAUCCAGACAUGGGGGUGUUGCACGUCAUGCCCCUACUCUUCUUUCCUGGCUUUCCUGCUCGCCAUAAUCUCUCUCCCCCAUAACUAGUUUUUGCAACAAGGCUUUUGUUGCAAAAGGGCUAUGUAUUGUUGCAGAAAUUUCCUGCAAUAGCAACUUUGUUGCAGAAUUAUUUUUUUUGCAACAAAUCCUCUAUUGCAGAAAUUUUCUGCAACAGCAUCCUUGUUGCAAAGGCACGUGGG